rnacentral:lncRNA from 1 species
AGAGGCAACCAAUUGUUAUUUAUUAAAAAUGCAGAGAAAAAAGAGUUAUAUACAAGAAUUCAAAGUUCCUACAUUAUAGAUUUUAUAGUAGAAGAAAUGGUAGAAAACAUAAUAUAAAAUAUAAUAGAUACUUGUAAAUCUAAACAGAAGCGAUGAUUUCAAUUCUUGACGCAGCUGGACACAAGGAGGUGGGGACACACAACAAUAUCUUUAGGCACAAUAUUUCCA